AAGCAAGUAGGUCACUAAUGUGGGCACGUGACCCCGUUUCAAUGACCAAAAUGCAUGUUUUGGUGACCAAAUUGUAAGCCCUUUAGUGACCAAAGUUGUAGUCCCUAAUAGCAUUUUUAUUAGUGACCAGACAGGGAUAGAUACUAAUUCUUUGUGUUGUAGUGACCAAUAGUUGACAUUGGCCACUAAAUAGAAUUUGUGACGAGCUUCUAGUGACCACCCAAUGACCACCAAUAUUUGGACAUUGAUUGCAUUCAGUGACCAAAAAGGGUAGUUUAUGUGACCAACUGGGUGGCCACUAAUACCUGCUUUUCUUGUAGUGUAUCCCGAUUUCUACUUCCCCCAAACUUGAUUAUUAUUUUUCUUUUUUGUUGAUUUUUUUAUAUUUUUUUUAUUGUUAUUUUAAAGAUAUAAAUUUUUAUUUAUUUUUUUGGUUUUAAUAUAAAAAUAUCAUUUUUGCCCUUGCAUUUAACAGAAAAAGUUAACAAAAUUGUCGGCAGGACUAUUUGUCCAAACGAAACUAGAGUUAAAGGACCAUGAAAACCAUUUUGGAAAUUGAGGUACUCAAAUGCAAAUCGGAUCAAAAUUCAAGGACCAAUAAAAUGAUUAACCCUUUGAUAUUUGAAUACUAAUAAAUCUAACAAAUCCAAGAAAAAAUUAUAAUUAUAGAAUGCCCAACAUGCAUAUGCUUUUGCCCUCUAGCCAAGAGAGAAAAAGAAACACCUAGCCUUUCGAUCAAUGCAUCUUUUCAUGCAUGACUUGCGGUUCUCAGCAAUUAAGUCAAGCCGCCCAAGUCCAAGUCAAGAAGUAUCACUUACUUCAUGACCACCAAUUUGGCUAUGAUUGCUGUCAUUUAGCAAAUGGUUAAAACACUCGUCGGCUUUCUAGAUGGAUUCAUUUGGGGUCGUAUGUUACUCAUGAAUACUUACAAAAUUAUUAAAGAAAAUCAUGAAUACUUCAAAAGUCAUAAAGAAAUAUAGUCACAAAACCACUCAUAUGCACAAUACAUUAUCAAGUUGUAUUUAUUAUUAUUGUAUGUCUUUAUCUCGUCAUAAUCGGGAUACUCGGGAAAUCUUUUCUUCUUCAUAUUAUUGUGUGUGUGAUCAUGCCAUAUUCGUUUUGAGUUAUGUUUGAGGUAUAUAUUGUCCUUCAACUCAAAUCUUUGAAGGAACUAGGUUUUUGCUUUUGUUUUUUUUUUUUUCAGUACAAGCAUUUGGGGAAGAUGGAUUUAUACAAAUAUAUUCAUUGGGUGCCUUCAAAUAUUCAUUGUUUGUUCGUAGUACAUGAUCAGCACCAUAGAGACACCC
rnacentral:lncRNA from 1 species